rnacentral:piRNA from 1 species
UACCUUGCCGAAUGGAUGGUACAUGGUU